CAGCAGACUCGAGGGACUCUGAUGCUAACGAACGGUUGCUAGGGAGAGACCAGAAACACUGGGCAGUGCAGUGAAGUUACUGAGUACAAUGGCAGUGGAGGGUGCUGAAGGAUCCAAAGCAGUGGAAUUUGAGUUUGGAGCGUGCAUGAGUCAUUUGAGGUCAGUCAGGGAAACAUAUGAUGAGGGAAAGCAUUCUUCUUUCUCUGGGGAUUGGAACAAAAACACACAUACAUUCACACAGUGAGGCUCUUCUAUAAGUGCUGGAAGCAGAACAAGCCCGGACAGCCAGUGUAAACGGGAGCUACCUCACUCUCGGUCAGAUCAGGACCUGUUCUUAUGUGCAUGGAAUUAAAACAUAUGUAUGACUUUGAGAUGAGCGUCUGAUGUCACUUCAGUAAAAAGUAAUGAUAUUGAUACAUGUGGAAGCAAUUUUCUUGCAAUAUCCAGUGCAGCACUGUACUGCCAAGACGGAACUGCCUGUGGUGGCUUAAAACACUGUAUUAAUGGACUCCAUCAAUGAUCAUCUUUGCUUUUGAACUGAAUGUGAAUAAUGGAAAAUAGAAGCACUCUGACAUUUUGAAGGCUGACUGGCAGAUGAAUAUUCACUAGAAAAUUGGAAAUUCACUAAACUUUAUUAGAAUAUAUACAA